AGUUUGAUCCUGGCUCAGGAUGAACGCUAGCUACAGGCUUAACACAUGCAAGUCGAGGGGCAGCAUGAACUUAGCUUGCUAAGUUUGAUGGCGACCGGCGCACGGGUGAGUAACACGUAUCCAACCUGCCGAUGACUCGGGGAUAGCCUUUCGAAAGAAAGAUUAAUACCCGAUGGCAUAGUUCUUCCGCAUGGUAGAACUAUUAAAGAAUUUCGGUCAUCGAUGGGGAUGCGUUCCAUUAGGUUGUUGGCGGGGUAACGGCCCACCAAGCCUUCGAUGGAUAGGGGUUCUGAGAGGAAGGUCCCCCACAUUGGAACUGAGACACGGUCCAAAUCCUACGGGAGGCAGCAGUGAGGAAUAUUGGUCAAUGGACGAGAGUCUGAACCAGCCAAGUAGCGUGAAGGAUGACUGCCCUAUGGGUUGUAAACUUCUUUUAUACGGGAAUAAAGUGAGGCACGUGUGCCUUUUUGUAUGUACCGUAUGAAUAAGGAUCGGCUAACUCCGUGCCAGCAGCCGCGGUAAUACGGAGGAUCCGAGCGUUAUCCGGAUUUAUUGGGUUUAAAGGGAGCGUAGGCGGACGCUUAAGUCAGUUGUGAAAGUUUGCGGCUCAACCGUAAAAUUGCAGUUGAUACUGGGUGUCUUGAGUACAGUAGAGGCAGGCGGAAUUCGUGGUGUAGCGGUGAAAUGCUUAAAUAUCACGAAGAACUCCGAUUGCGAAGGCAGCUUGCUGGACUGUAACUGACGCUGAUGCUCGAAAGUGUGGGUAUCAAACAGGAUUAGAUACCCUGGUAGUCCACACAGUAAACGAUGAAUACUCGCUGUUUGCGAUAUACAGUAAGCGGCCAAGCGAAAGCGUUAAGUAUUCCACCUGGGGAGUACGCCGGCAACGGUGAAACUCAAAGGAAUUGACGGGGGCCCGCACAAGCGGAGGAACAUGUGGUUUAAUUCGAUGAUACGCGAGGAACCUUACCCGGGCUUGAAUUGCAACUGAAUGAUGUGGAGACAUGUCAGCCGCAAGGCAGUUGUGAAGGUGCUGCAUGGUUGUCGUCAGCUCGUGCCGUGAGGUGUCGGCUUAAGUGCCAUAACGAGCGCAACCCUUAUCGAUAGUUACCAUCANGUUAUGCUGGGGACUCUGUCGAGACUGCCGUCGUAAGA
rnacentral:rRNA from 1 species